GCCUAUUACGCCGAGCCAUCUCUGCAAAAACAGUAAGCAAAAGAUUAAAAAAGCAAAAUGCCAGCAGUAAUACAUAUUUAUCUUCAUAAAUUUUUAUUGUCUGCCAGAUAAUAAGGCAAAUACAGCAGAGUCAUUAUCCCAUGUUCGCAUCACCACUCUACCCAUAGUCCAAUCUUUCAAUUGACCUCUUUUAACAUUUGACCGUCUCCUUAACUAACAGUUGCAAAAUCAGUUUUUAAACACACCUAUAAACCCAUACCAAUUACACCAGUAAGAAAUCCACCGAAGUUAAAAUUUAAGGUAAUUACAGUAGUUGCACAACAAUUGCGUUUUGAUUUCCUAACUAUUAUCACAAUGAUGUAAAAGAACACUACAUCAAAAACAAUUUAACAAGAAAACGAAUUUUAGAUUAUUAUCCAGUAAUAGCUAUACUUUUAUAUUAUCCAAUUAAUAGUUACUACUAGUUACUCAUCUCACUUCUAUCCAAAGUUGAUGCAUUCAAUAAAAAAUUAAAAAAAAGAAGGGAUAAUGAUUUUUCCAAACCCACGGGUCAAGAUAUAUAAGCAAUUAACCAAAUAAUGAGCUAUUCAUGGUACAGAAAUCUGACCUACAGCUUCUUGGUUCCUCUG
rnacentral:misc_RNA from 1 species